CGGACGGGACGCCCGCAUCGGGAGCCGCACCAGUCACCCGCGGAACGUCCGCACGGCUCUGCGAACCCAGGGAUCGACGGUUAGGAACAUGGGAUUCUUCGCGACGUUCUGAAUUGGGCUGUCAAUCAAUAUGAAGGCCGGUCUUGAGUACGUCGGUGAAGAUUAUUAUCGAAGCUACGGACAAUGCUUGGAGAUGCGACGUUAUCAUUUUGCAAGUAAUUAAUUGCCAACU